UUCAAAUGAUAAAGCACAUCACAUGCCCAUAGAUGGCAAAUGGCACCAAUAUGACGAGAUCACAACACAUCAUAUAUCACAUAGAAAUAUUUUGUUCAGAUUACAAAUCUCAUCCAUCUUACACAACAUAGCCCAGAUCACAACUAUGCAAUUACCUAAAGAUCACACAUAGCCCAGAUCUUCCAACUAACACCAUCUCAAACAAGAGUAUAACUAACAACAGCGCCAUUACACAAGCCAAAGUUCUGAACUUCAAAAAAAUUCAGUGAUCUCCAGAGUUGCCGGCGGCACGCAACCAUGCAUUGACCUGCAACUCCCGCCUACCGGAGGGCGGCUCGAUGGCAAUCAGCUUGCCGUGGAGCUCCUUCAGUACGCCCUUGACGAGUCCGUCUCCCACGCACUGUCGGCACUCGGCAGUACCUAAGCAGCACACGCCCACGGCAGUACUGAGCCGACAGUAGCUUAGCAGCACACCCUCUUUCUCCAGUGCCGCAAGUAGAGCCGACAGUGCCACAUCGACCCUCCGCUCGCCGACGUCAUUAGCUAGCAGCAGGCGCUCGCACUAGCUCACCUCCAGCGCGUCCGUCCCAGGCGUGUAAGCCAGGAGGACACGACAACUCUCCGGGCGGAGACAUGGAUCUCCACGGCGCCACACCUCCUGCGGGAAUGCUCUCCCGUGCACGCCGAUGGUGUAGUCGCCGCCGCGGGCCACGGCUGGGACGGCUCCGCCUCCGCCUGCACAGCAACCGGCGCUCCUGCUCCGGCCGUCGCGGGCCACGACUCGGAUAGCUAAGCCUCCGCCCGCACAGGAUGCAACGCUCGCCGGUGCCGACGCCGGCGCCGGAGACGGAGCUACUCACUCCCGCCGCUGCCGCCGUCCAUGGUUGUAGGCUAGGGAUUUCAAACGAAUUGGGGAUCGAACAGGGGAAUUGACCUGGUCUCGCUCGGUCCAGGGAAAAC
rnacentral:lncRNA from 1 species